CCUUCGGGUUGUAAAGCACUUUAGGUUGGGAAGAAGGUGUGUUGUUUAAGAGAUAAUACAUUUGACUGUACCGACAAAAUAAGCACCGGCUAACUCUGUGC
rnacentral:rRNA from 1 species